rnacentral:lncRNA from 1 species
GUGACGUGACCGGAGCCGCGGACGACCACCGGGUCCGGCGAGUACUUGAGCAGCUGCUCCUCCAGGGCCCGCUCCUCGUCCUCCUCUUCCUCAUAGAUUUCGUCGAAAUCCGCCAUCCUGAGCCUCCGAGCUCCCCUGCCCAAAGGGCCUGACUCCCGGGGUUGGCGCCGGGGUACCGGCGGGCGAGGCGGCGGAGGCUGA